rnacentral:rRNA from 1 species
UACGAAGGGUGCUAGCGUUGUUCGGAAUUACUGGGCGUAAAGCGCGCGCAGGCGGCUAUCCAAGUCAGUGGUGAAAGCCCGGAGCUCAACUCCGGAACUGCCAUUGAAACUGUUUAGCUUGAGGAUGAGAGAGGUGAGUGGAAUUCCCAGUGUAGAGGUGAAACUCGUAGAUAUUGGGAAGAACACCGGUGGCGAAGGCGGCUCACUGGCUCAUUACUGACGCUCAGGCGCGAUAGCGUGGGGAUCAAACAGG